rnacentral:rRNA from 1 species
AUACGUAGGUGGCAAGCGUUGUCCGGAAUCAUUGGGCGUAAAGAGCGCGUAGGUGGCUUGUCAGGUCUGAUGUGAAAUUUCGGGGCUCAACUCCGAACCUGCAUCGGAAACCGGCUUGCUAGAGUCUGGGAGAGGAGAGUGGAAUUCCUGGUGUAGCGGUGAAAUGCGUAGAUAUCAGGAGGAACACCGGUAGCGAAGGCGGCUCUCUGGAACAGUACUGACGCUGAGGCGCGAAAGCUAGGGGAGCGAACAGGAUUAGAUACCCUGGUAGUCCUAGCCGUAAACGAUGGACACUAGGUGUCGGGGGUGUCGACUCCCCCGGUGCCGAAGCUAACGCAUUAAGUGUCCCGCCUGGGGAGUACGGCCGCAAGGCUAAA